AUUGAACGCUGGCGGCAGGCCUAACACAUGCAAGUCGAGCGGAUGAAGGGAGCUUGCUCCUGGAUUCAGCGGCGGACGGGUGAGUAAUGCCUAGGAAUCUGCCUGGUAGUGGGGGAUAACGUCCGGAAACGGGCGCUAAUACCGCAUACGUCCUGAGGGAGAAAGUGGGGGAUCUUCGGACCUCACGCUAUCAGAUGAGCCUAGGUCGGAUUAGCUAGUUGGUGGGGUAAAGGCCUACCAAGGCGACGAUCCGUAACUGGUCUGAGAGGAUGAUCAGUCACACUGGAACUGGGACACGGUCAAGACUCCUACGGGAGGCAGCAGUGGGGAAUAUUGGACAAUGGGCGAAAGCCUGAUCCAGCCAUGCCGCGUGUGUGAAGAAGGUCUUCGGAUUGUAAAGCACUUUAAGUUGGGAGGAAGGGCAGUAAGUUAAUACCUCGCUGUUUUGACGUUACCAACAGAAUAAGCACCGGCUAACUUCGUG
rnacentral:rRNA from 1 species